rnacentral:tRNA from 1 species
GCCCCGGUAGCUCAAUGGUAGAGCAGUUGACUCUUAAUCAAUUGGUUGAAGGUUCGAGUCCUUCCCGAGGCA